GAUUUAUAAUUUAUAAGAAAUUAUUUACUAAUAAAAAUUUUAGAUACAACUUAGUUCAACAUUUGUCAACACUCAAGUUUGAAGAUGCGUGUGAAGCUACCAGUUUCUGAUACACAAACUUUUUAUCACUGAUGAUUUGAGGUAACACAAUGGUAACCAUAAAUAUAAUUAUUUAUAGUAUUAAACUCUUCCACAAGAGGUCGCAGUAUAAUAUUAAUAUUCAUGCUAGCAAAAUUAUUAUUGUUUGUGAAAAAAGUGUUGACUGUAUUGUUUUUGUGUUAACUAGAAUUUUAGUGUAUUACCUUAUGAUUUUAAAUAGCAUUUAUGUAGUGCGAUAUUAUAUUAUUCUUACAUGUCAGUAUCGCGUAUGUCGUAUUAGAUCGAAUAAAGUAAUGUAAUAUUGCCAUAAAAUAUGUCGGACUUGCCUAAUAUAAUGAUAAUUAUGCAGUUAUACAUUUAUCGGAUUUACAGACAAGAAAAUAAAAAAUAAAAAUAAUAAUGUUGCCACUGUCAAAAUAAAUCGGAUUUAGCCAAAUAAAUAAUGAAAUAUGCCAAAAACUAAAAUAUUCCUACCCAUUAAUAUCGAUAUAUCGGUGAUCAAUUCGCUACACGAAGAUGUUAUAGUCAUGAGCGUGGAUGUUCUAUAAAGAAUAAGUAAUAAUGAAGUGUUUUAAAAGUAUGACAAAUGUCAAGGAAAUAGUCUUGACAAUGACCUGUGAUGGUGGAAAGGGGCUAUGGCAAAAAGGCAACCUGGUGGAUGCAAUGUAUAUACUUGAGAAAUUAAUAUUUGACCUGAUUUUAAAAAUUAAACAAGGCAAAUCAGGUUUGGAAAUCUUAAAAUAAAUAUAAUAUAUAAUCUAGCAAUAUACGAGUAAGUAUACAAUGAUAAUAUUUUUUUCAAAAUAUAGCAAUAUUUAUAACAUAAUAAUUGGCAGGAAAAAGGAUCGAAACGUAGUCCAUAAUUUAAAAAAUAGAGAGGCCUCUGAUGACAAGGAAGUCUUCGAUAUAAUUAUUAAGAUGACCCUUCCCACGAAAAAUGACUCCAUUUGCAUUAUUAAUUAAUGUAUUUUAAUUUAAGUAGUUCUAAACAAAUUUUAAAAUAUAAGAUUAUAUUCAUGUAAGUUAGUGUAUAAGAGUAACGCGAUUUUUCCUACUAACCAUUGUUUUGACCAGGUGAGGGGUUAUUUUAAAAUUUCUUUUAUUUGAUAUAUUUUUCAAGCUGGUGCUCGAAUUAUAUAUUCGAGAAGAAAUAGUAAAGCCAAAAGAAGUAUUUAAAUUGUAUUUUCCGCGCCUUUUAUAUUGAUUAUAAAGUAUAAUUUUUGGGAAAAUCUUCCAAUAAAUUUGAGUCAAUCAGUAUAAUAUUCGGUUUUUAAAAUUUAUAAUCAACUGUUUAUUUUGCUUAAUUUAUUAAAAAUUUUGUCUAUAUCCUUUAUAAUAAUUUAUUUAUGGUACCUGAGUAUAGGUUAAUCUAGUUAAUUAUGAAUAAUAUAUUUAUUUAUAAAUAUUAUAUUAUAUAUAAUUUUCACGCAGUGACAAAUAAUGGCCGACGCCGUGUAGGGUCAUAAUCAUUUUCUAUGAUAAGUAUAUCGUCAAAAAUUAUUAAAAGUAACUUUAAAUUAUACCAAAGAUAUGCAAUUGUUACCAUAAAUGUUACACAAGAGCCAGCAAAAAUACCCAAUUUACAAUAAAUUAAUUUAAAAAUCCAAAUGUUAUUUUGUCUUCUGUGCUGAAUUUUGACUUUUUUCAUAAAAGAAGUUGUCAAACUUUUCAAUAAGUUUACCUAAAAUUAUGAAUAUUUUUUAAAUAAAAAAUUUGUAACUACUUAAGCAAUGAGAGACAUUAUUGGAAUAUGAUUAAACAUUUUGGCUGGUUCUCUUAUAUUGUAAUAUAAAAGUAUAUUCAGUUAAGUAAAUACUAUCUUUGUAAGUAAAUCUGCCAAAAAAACAUAUUAAAUAACUAACAAGGAGAAUAUUUUUCUUACUAAGUCUCGGAGAUGGUGUUCUUUUAAACACAGCAUCCGACAUAUUCUUAAAAGGAAAUGUUCUGUAUAUAUCGUAGGGACUGAAUUUAGUAUUUUUCAAAUUAAUCUUGUCGUCUGUAUAUCCAUGUUCAGUUUUCAAGAAAGAAUUAGGUUUUUUCUUUAUGUAGCUUCUCUUAAUAACGGGCUGUAAAUCAUUCUUUUGAUUUUGUCCCAUAUUUAAUUGUGUUUUCAUCUUAUCACAUUGAUUUUCAAAACCAUGUGUCUUUUUCAACACAGGGCUGUUGUGUACGUCAUUCGUUAAUAAAUUUAGACUUUCAUCAUAAAAGUACUUGUUAUACAUUUCAAUAAGUUUACCUAAAAUGUUUAAUACGUUAAAGUAAUAAUUUAAUAGUUUUAAAAGAAGUAUAGUUUUUACAUUAUCGCUUAAAAAUUAAUUUUUUUUUUAUUUAUCUCAAAUUUAACAU